rnacentral:rRNA from 1 species
UAGUGGCGAACGGGUGAGUAACACGUGAGUAACCUGCCCUUAACUCUGGGAUAAGCCUGGGAAACUGGGUCUAAUACCGGAUAUGACUCCUCAUCGCAUGGUGGGGGGUGGAAAGCUUUAUUGUGGUUUUGGAUGGACUCGCGGCCUAUCAGCUUGUUGGUGAGGUAAUGGCUCACCAAGGCGACGACGGGUAGCCGGCCUGAGAGGGUGACCGGCCACACUGGGACUGAGACACGGCCCAGACUCCUACGGGAGGCAGCAGUGGGGAAUAUUGCACAAUGGGCGAAAGCCUGAUGCAGCGACGCCGCGUGAGGGAUGACGGCCUUCGGGUUGUAAACCUCUUUCAGUAGGGAAGAAGCGAAAGUGACGGUACCUGCAGAAGAAGCGCCGGCUAACUACGUGCCAGCAGCCGCGGUAAUACGUAGGGCGCAAGCGUUAUCCGGAAUUAUUGGGCGUAAAGAGCUCGUAGGCGGUUUGUCGCGUCUGCCGUGAAAGUCCGGGGCUCAACUCCGGAUCUGCGGUGGGUA